AACGCUAGCUACAGGCUUAACACAUGCAAGUCGAGGGGCAGCAUGGUCUUAGCUUGCUAAGGCCGAUGGCGACCGGCGCACGGGUGAGUAACACGUAUCCAACCUGCCGUCUACUCUUGGACAGCCUUCUGAAAGGAAGAUUAAUACAAGAUGGCAUCAUGAGUUCACAUGUUCACAUGAUAAAGGUAUUCCGGUAGACGAUGGGGAUGCGUUCCAUUAGAUAGUAGGCGGGGUAACGGCCCACCUAGUCUUCGAUGGAUAGGGGUUCUGAGAGGAAGGUCCCCCACAUUGGAACUGAGACACGGUCCAAACUCCUACGGGAGGCAGCAGUGAGGAAUAUUGGUCAAUGGGCGAGAGCCUGAACCAGCCAAGUAGCGUGAAGGAUGACUGCCCUAUGGGUUGUAAACUUCUUUUAUAAAGGAAUAAAGUCGGGUAUGCAUACCCGUUUGCAUGUACUUUAUGAAUAAGGAUCGGCUAACUCCGUGCCAGCAGCCGCGGUAAUACGGAGGAUCCGAGCGUUAUCCGGAUUUAUUGGGUUUAAAGGGAGCGUAGAUGGAUGUUUAAGUCAGUUGUGAAAGUUUGCGGCUCAACCGUAAAAUUGCAGUUGAUACUGGAUAUCUUGAGUGCAGUUGAGGCAGGCGGAAUUCGUGGUGUAGCGGUGAAAUGCUUAGAUAUCACGAAGAACUCCGAUUG
rnacentral:rRNA from 1 species